CCAGAAGAAGUCCCAGUCAAGGCCCCAGAAGAAGUCCCAGUCGAGGCCCCAGAAGAAGUUCCAGUCGAGGCCCCAGAAGAAGUCCCAGUCGAGGCCCCAGAAGAAGUCCCAGUCGAGGCCCCAGAAGAAGUCCCAGUCGAGGCUCCAGAAGAAGUCCCAGUCGAGGCUCCAGAAGAAGUCCCAGUCGAGGCCCCAGUUGAGCCCCCUACAGAUGAAACUGCAGCAGGGCAGGAAGUUGAAGAAAGCAUCAUUCCAGAGACUGAGCCAGUAACUGAGGCCAUACCCAUUCCUGAGGCCCCUGUGUCAGCUCUUGCUGAAUUUAAGGUCCAGGUCGAAAACUACGUAGCCAUUACCACAGAGAUCGCACAGACUCAUGACGAGCCGUGGCUCGAGGCUGAAGUGGAGGCUGAAAUAGUUGACGAGGUCCAAGCGAAAGUAGAGGCAGUAGUUGAGGAAGAACCAGAGCCCGAUCCCGUGGUCAAGGCCGAAGCUGCCCCAGUUGUAGAAGCUGAACUUGAAGAGUCGGGAAUCAAAGACGGAGACAAUCCUAUCGUCAAAGCUGAAGCCAUUCCUGAAGAUAUUGAUGUAGAAAAGGUGCUACAUCUCUCUGCCUCUGUUGAAAACUCAACUCCAGCCCUUUGUGUUCUGUUACGUGAUGUUGUCUUGUGUGAAUGUGCAUGUAGUGUGUGGUUUGCUCUGUUCCUUCCCUUUUCUCUUAAACAGCAUUCAGAAAGCAUCUGAUCAUUUUUUUUCUUUUAGAUGUUUUUCUUCUAAUUUCUCCUCUUUUCAGCAUGAGACUGUUAUGACAGAGGCACCUGAAGAGGUUCCAGUGGAGACAGAAAUUAUCCCAGAAAAGCUGUGGAAGCCCGUGGAAGCACCGGUCGAAGAAGCCCCCGUAGCCGAGGUCGCUCCAGCAGAGCUCCUUGUAGAGGCCCCAGUAGACCCUGUCAUCAACAUAAUGGCUGACUUUGCCAUCACAGAAUCUGUUCCCGUUGCGGAGGCAGCCAUGGCUGAACAGGUGCCCGCAGUCCCAACGGAUUCACUUGACGCCCUAUCGGAGUUGCUGAACGACGUCACUCUAGUCACUGAGCCCGCCCCUGUCACAGCUGAUAAAGUCAUUGACGCUAAAGAGGAAAUUGAAGCCCAGAUGGAAAUCGAGGCUAAAAAGGAUGCCAUAGAUGAGAAGACGGUCCUUGACGUCAUCUCUGGAGAUUUAUCUGCCCCCGACUCUGUCAUCUCAGAACUGCAGUGUCACACGCAGCUCGCCGCCCCCAAGGAUAUCCCAGCAGAGGCCGUGCUGAAUGGACAGAUGGCAGCUGAGGUGGCCAUUGAGGGAUAGAUCUCUAUGGAUUUCCUCAGUCAGUAUGAAGGACUGAAGAGAGCCUGACGGUGAGCCGACCAGCGAACUUUACUUUUCAUUUUUUAGGGCUUAAAGGGACCGCUGGGAAAUUUGACAGACAUCCAACAAUCAGUGCCUUUCUUGCUUGGGUUCUUACAAAAAAAAUAUUAAACAAGUUUAAAAUGCGAUAUGAAGGUGGGGGAAUAAGACUCUUUUUUUAAAACCAGAAUGUGACAAUUUGGAAUAAACAAAUGAUGGCUUUCAUAGAUUUCUGUAUCCCAUUGCAUGUAUUGUAGAUUUGCAUCAAUUGUAAAUGGCAUGCAUUGUGUAUGAAUACUGUAGAAUUGAUGAAUGUGGCAAUGGCUUGUCUUCACAUUUGGACCAUGUUUGUAUGGAUGAGAGGGAUUAAUUCCUUGUACACGUUUCCUGUUUUAACCUGGUUUGACUCCUUUUUGCGAAGGGACAGUAUCGCAGUUUGUACAGUACCAUAGCUACCCCCUCUUCUCCCUAUCACCAUUGUGGUACUUUUGUUUUUUCAGGGACUGUAUGAUGACAGCUCCACCCUCUUUAUUGUGUAGUGUCAGUGUGUCUACAGUCCCAAGUCUGUCCUGGGCAAUGUGAAAUGGUGUGUAGUUUUAGGUCCUCUGACCAGAUGCUCUUAACAUUUAAUUACCUACGCUGCCAACUGAAAACAGAGUACGGGGCCUGUAGAUCCUGUUUUUCUUUUCUAAUUCUGUUUUCAUAGACCAUAUGAUGUGGUACAACCGCUGUUUGUGUUCUGUUACGUGCUUUGGAAGAGACAAUGGAGUUGUCAUGUAAUUGAGGAGCUGGGUUGGAUUUCAUUCACCUUUUUGAAUAAAGAUGUUCC
rnacentral:lncRNA from 1 species